UACGUAGGGUGCAAGCGUUGUCCGGAAUUAUUGGGCGUAAAGAGCUCGUAGGCGGUUUGUUGCGUCGGCUGUGAAAUCCCGAGGCUCAGCCUCGGGUCUGCAGUCGAUACGAGCAAACUAGAGUGUUGCAGGGGAGACUGGAAUUCCUGGUGUAGCGGUGAAAUGCGCAGAUAUCAGGAGGAACACCGGUGGCGAAGGCGGGUCUCUGGGCAACAACUGACGCUGAGGAGCGAAAGCGUGGGGAGCGAACAGG
rnacentral:rRNA from 1 species